UUUGACCCCUUCAACUUAGUACUUGGUGGCAAAACCUUUGUUGGCAAUCACAGGUUUUGCCAUCAAGUACUAAGUCGAAGGGGUCAAA